UUCUAGCAUUUUCACUUAGCUAUCAUUAGUUUCUGUCUUUGCAAUGAAAUUUCCCCAUCUGUUACUUCCCACUGUCUACCUAUUCCACAAGAUGCUUUAACAUACUAAUCACGGUUUUUAAAAUCUUUGUCCCUUACAACAUCCAAGACUAUCUCUGAGUCUGGAUCUCUUGAAUAAUGUAUCUCUUAAAAAUGGAUUGAUGUUUUUUAACUGAGAAUCCACUCAUUUAAGCUGAGAUUUAAAUUUUCUUAUUUAAGAUCAGCUGGUAGGAAAAAAAAAAGGCCUCAAGAUCAUAGCAGGAAGAAUCUCCUGCACCCCAGCUUAAUUUGAAAGUUUACAUAUUUGUAGAUAAGUGUCCAGACAAAAUAUAUGACUAAGACAGAAAGCACCUCUGAAACUGGACCCUCAGGAAAAGAAGUCAGGCUUUGGGCAAAAGUCACAUAUGAACAUAAAAAUUUUAAAAGCCGUCAAAUAAAAUAUCACGUGUAUGACACCCUGCUGCCUGUACAGGGAUUAUGACAAGUAACAACAUCACAGCAAAUAUACAUCUGGCUGUUUAGAACCAGUAACUUUUUAAAAAAGAUUUAUUUAUUCAAAAGACAGAAUUACAGAGAGAGAGAGAGAAGAGAAAGAAUGAGAGAGAGAGAGAGAGAGAGGUCUUCCAUCUGCUGGUUCACUCUCCAGAUGGCCACAACUGCUGGGGCUGGGUAGUAUCAACAUUUUCAUGAUAUUAAUCCUUUCUUUUUUUUUAAGACUUUUUUUUUUUUUUUUGACAGAGUGGAUAGUGAGAGAGAGAAACAAAGAGAAAGGUCUUCCUUUACCGUUGGUUCACCCUCCAAUGGCCGCUCGGCUGGUGCACCGCGCUGAUCCGAAGCCAGGAGCCAGGUGCUUCUCCUGGUCUCCCAUGCGGGUGCAGGGCCCAAGGACUUGGGCCAUCCUCCACUGCUCUCCAGGGCCACAGCAGAGAGCUGGCCUGGAAGAGGGGCAACCGGGACAGAAUCUGGCACCCCGACCAGGACUAGAACUCGGUGUGCUGGCGCUGCAAGGUGGAGGAUUAGCCUAUUGAGCCGUGCCUCCAACCGAUUAAUCCUUUCAAUUCCCAAACAUGGAAGAUUUUUCAUUUUUUUGUGUGUCUUCUAUUUCUUUUCUUAUUUAUAAUUUUCAUUGUAGAGAUUUCAUAUCGUUGGUUAAAUUUAUCGCAAGAUAUUUAAGAUUUUUUGCAACUAUUGUGAAUGUUACUGGUCUUACAAUUUCUUUCCCUCUCAUGGCAUUGUUUGUGUGUACAAAUCCUAUUUGUGAUAUAGUGCCUUGAUUAUGUUGAAAUAUAUUCCUUCUAACCAUUUUGUCUAAGGGAUUCUUUUUUAUCAUAAAAGGAUGUAUUUUUCAAAUACUUUUUCUGCAUCUGUUCAGAUAAUCACGUGGUUUUCAUUAAUCAAUUGUUAAUGUGAUAUAUCACAUUUAUCGAUUUGCAUAUGUUGAACCAUCCCUGCAUCCCUGGGAUAAAUCCCACUUACUCCAGUUGGAUGAUCUUUUGGAUUGUUGUUGGAUUUGAUUCUUAUUGAUGAUAAUUGCAGCAAUGAUCCUGAGGGAUAUCAGUCUAUAGUUCUCAUUCUUUGUUGUAUCUUUUUACAGCGUGGGAAUUAAGGUGAUAUUGACCUCAAAAAAGGAGUUUAGGUGGAUUCCCUCCCUUUAAUUUUUUUUAAAUAGUUUAAGAAGUAUUGGGAUUAGUUCUUUAAAAGUUUUUAAGAGAUGGCUUCAACAGUGAAGCCAUCCAUUCCUGGGCUUUUCUUUGUUAGAAGGGUCUUUGCUAUUGAUUCUGUUGUGGGAGGAUGAGGGCAAAGGUGAUCUCAGUUCGUGUUUCUUGUUGAAGAAUUUCCAUGCAGACAGGGCCAGUAAGCAAUGCAAGAUUUAUGGAAACUGAGAAACCUGACCAGCAGUCAGGAGGGGGAUCUAAGUAGGAAUUGCCAAAGAAGCUUGCCAGUGUCUGCCCUUUAUAAACAUGAAGCGGCUCUCUCUGAUUGGCUGCUUUCUGAAAAUCAAACCUACAUUUAACCAAUCAGGGGAGGAUCAGAAUAACAGGUACUGAAGGCAGAGAUUGCAAUCCUUUCUAGCUUCGAUAAAACUAAUUACAGCUAACAGACAAAACUGCCUUCCGAGGGACCUAACUGCCUUCCAACUGGCUCUGUUGCCCAUUAGCCCAUCUGGCUCCUCAUAUCCUCUUCUCAUUCAAUUCAAUCUCCAUCUUGAUUAUUGGUUUAUUUAGAUUUUUUUCAUGUCUUCAUGCCUCAAUUUUGGUAAGUUGUAUGUGUCCAGAAAUCUAUCCAUUUUUCUAUAUUUUCCAAUUUGUUGGCAAAAAGCUGUUUAUAAUAAUUCUUAAUGAUUCUUUUUAUUUAGUGGCAUCCAUUGUAAAAUCUCCAUUAUCAUAUUUGAAUUUUAGUAAUUUAAGUCUUCUUUUUUUUGUUGGUUGCAGCAAUGGUUUAUCAAUUUUUUUUUUUUUUUCAAAAAAACCAACUCUUCAUUUCACUAAUCUAUUGUAUGGGAUUUUUUUUUUCAGUUUUAUUUAUUUCUUCUCUAAUUUUUACUGUUUCUUCCCUCCUACUAAUUUUGGGUUUAGUUUGUUCUUGUAUUGAAGAACCAAAGUGACUCCAUUUUUAAACAAUUGAAAAAAGCAGCCUCCGUUUCCCAUAGCAGACCCGGGUCCUUGUAAAAGCAGGCAUUCAGGCAUUCCGGAGAUAUGAAAGCUUACCAGGGACAGCUAGCUCGGUGGACCAAGGACAGCACAGUAGAGAUUGCUGAACAAAGUAACUCCCUGUGCCCAGAGCUUCCGUGCUGUAAGCCCCCGCUGUAACUCCCUGUACCCAAAGCUUCCAUGCUGUAUGUAACUCUUUUUUCCUGCUGAUGUAGCCCUUUUUUCCUUUAAAAACUCUCCCUAACAAAGACCGAGGCCUCACUCCUUCCUCUGCUGUGCCGGUUGGUUGGAUGGGGUCCCUGUCGCGGCUUGUACUCCCGAAUAAACCUUGCUUUUGCAGUUCGGUGUGAUCGACUCUCUGGGGGUCUCUGCGGGGAUCUAACAAUCUGGGCACAACGUACUUUUUGGUGCCCAACAUAUUUGGGGGCUCACCCAGGAUUGUGAUCCCCAAAAAGCCCCCCAGUGACCUCAACCCCGAAGGUUUGCUCCAGUCGACUGGGAAAGAUUUCAUGAUCCAAGGCGACUCAAUGACUUGUGGUUCCUGGAAUUUUAUGCAAACUACAACAGCAUCUCUGUUUCUCUUAUGUUUCUGAGAAGAGAUCAAUUUUCAGUUAAUUUUUAUACUCAGAAUAUUAACCCUACACUUAGCAGAGAGUUCACCAACUAGUAUGAAGGAAAAAAAAUGAAGUAAAGAACAAAAACAAACGAGAAAAACAUUGUUCUCUGACAGUUAAGGUAAGGGCUGUUCAAAAUUAUAACAUUUCAAAGUAUAAGUUUCCCUCCUGUAGAUUAAAUUUUAAGUACUCUAUUAGUUAUGACAGAUCAGAGAGACCAUAUGGUAUCUGUCUUUUUGUGACUGGCUCAUUUCACUAAAUGUAAUGGUUUUCAGUUGCAUCCAUUUUGUUGCAAAUGACAGGAUUUUAUUUUUUUUUACCACUGUGUAGUAUUCCAUGGUGUAUAAAUACCAUAAUUUAUUUAUCCAGUCUUCAGUUGAUAGACAUCUGGGUUGAUUCCAUAUUUUAGCUAUUAUAAAUUGAACUGAAAUGAACAUAGGGUACAGAUAACUCUUAAAUAUGCUGAUUUCAUUUCCUUUUGAUAAAUUCCCAGGAGUGGGAUGGCAGGGUCAUAUGGUAUGUGUAUAUUCAUACAUAUCUCAGCUUUCUGAGAUACCUCCAUACUGUCUUCCACAGUGGCUGUACCAGUUUACAUUCCCACCAACAGUGGAUUAAAGUUCCCAUCCUUGACAGCAUUUGUUGUUUGUUGAUUUCUGCAGAAAAGCUAUUCUGACAGGUUGGAGGUAAAACCUCAUUUUAUUUUUGAUUUUGCCUUUCCCUGAUGGCUUGCAAUCCUGAGCUUUUUUAAAAAAAAUUAUUUUAUUUAUUUGAAAGUCAGAGUUACAGAGAGAGGUAAAGCAAGAGAGGUCUUCCAUCCACUGGUUCACUCCCCAAAUGACCACAAUGGCCAGAGCUGAACUGAUCUGAAGCCAGGAGCCAGGAGCUUCUUCCAGGCCUCCCAUGUGGGUACAAGGGCCCAAGGACUUGGGCCAUCUUCCUCUGCUUUCUCAGGCCAUAGCAGAGAGCUGGAUCAAAAGCAGAGCAGCCAGGAUCAAACCAGCACCCAUAUGGGAUGCUGGCACUGCAGGCCAUGGCUUUAAACAGCUGCGCCACAGCACCAGCCCCUCCUGAGCAUUUUGUAAUGUGUCUGUUGGCCAUUUGAAUUUGCUCUCUUGGAAAAUGUCUGUUGGGAUACUUUGCCCAUUUUUUAAUUGGAUUGUUUGUUUUGUUGUUGUGGAAUUUCUUGAGCUCUUUUAUUAGAUUCUGGAAGUUAAUCAUUUGUC